CUACUUCUGCCGUCGCCGGAAAAAGUGGCCGUUGAUCCAUCGAAGCUUCUGGCCGCCGCCGGAGCUGUUGCCGGGGUCGGUUCGGAAUCGCAGCUGCCUUAUUGUAUUAUUUCGUGUUGCUAUGGUUAUUGCAAAAGUGGCUGGGAGCUGAGGCU